rnacentral:rRNA from 1 species
AUUGAACGCUGGCGGCAGGCCUAACACAUGCAAGUCGAGCGGAUGAAGGGAGCUUGCUCCUGGAUUCAGCGGCGGACGGGUGAGUAAUGCCUAGGAAUCUGCCUGGUAGUGGGGGAUAACGUCCGGAAACGGGCGCUAAUACCGCAUACGUCCUGAGGGAGAAAGUGGGGGAUCUUCGGACCUCACGCUAUCAGAUGAGCCUAGGUCGGAUUAGCUAGUUGGUGGGGUAAAGGCCUACCAAGGCGACGAUCCGUAACUGGUCUGAGAGGAUGAUCAGUCACACUGGAACUGAGACACGGUCCAGACUCCUACGGGAGGCAGCAGUGGGGAAUAUUGGACAAUGGGCGAAAUCCUGAUCCAGCCAUGCCGCGUGUGUGAAGAAGGUCUUCGGAUUGUAAAGCACUUUAAGUUGGGAGGAAGGGCAGUAAGUUAAUACCUUGCUGUUUUGACGUUACCAGCAGAAUAAGCACCGGCUAACUUCGUG